rnacentral:rRNA from 1 species
UACGUAGGGUGCGAGCGUUGUCCGGAAUUAUUGGGCGUAAAGAGCGUGUAGGCGGUCCGUAAGUCGGCUGUGAAAGUCCAGGGCUCAACCCUGGGAUGCCGGUCGAUACUGCCGGACUAGAGUACGGAAGAGGCGAGUGGAAUCCUGGUGUAGCGGUGAAAUGCGCAGAUAUCAGGAGGAACACCAAUUGCGAAGGCAGCUCGCUGGACGUUACUGACGCUGGAGACGCGAAAGCGUGGGAGCAAACAGG